GAUGAACGCUGGCGGCGUGCUUAAUACAUGCAAGUCGGACGGAGAUUGCAGCGAUGUAAUCUUAGUGGCGAACGGGUGAGUAACGCGUUGGUGACCUGCCCCAAAGCGUGGGAUAACAGUUCGAAAGGACUGCUAAUACCGCAUGAAGUUACAGGCGUUAGAGAACUGUAACGAAAGGUGCAAACCGCUAUGGGAGGGGCCUGCGUCCCAUCAGCUAGUUGGUAGGGUAAAGGCCUACCAAGGCGACGACGGGUAGGGGGCCUGAGAGGGUGACCCCCCACACUGGCACUGAAACACGGGCCAGACACCUACGGGAGGCAG
rnacentral:rRNA from 1 species